AGUUGCUCCUAGUACGAGAGGACCGGAGUGAACGAACCUCUGGUGUUCGGGUUGUCACGCCAGUGGCACUGCCCGGUAGCUAAGUUCGGAAUCGAUAACCGCUGAAAGCAUCUAAGCGGGAAGCGAGCCCUGAGAUGAGUCAUCCCUGACCCCUUGAGGGUCCUAAAGGGCCGUUGGAGACCACAACGUUGAUAGGCGGGGUGUGUAAGUGCAGCGAUGCAUUGAGCUAACCCGUACUAAUUACCCGUGAGGCUUAACCAUACAACACCCAAGAAGUGUUCU
rnacentral:rRNA from 1 species